CAUCGCUGCUGUUUGAGCAGGAACACCUCAUCAAUUAUCAUUUAUGAAGACAACCUGCAUUAAAAAAGAAUGCAUACCGCUGGCAAUCCUGAGCGCUGACAUCCUGUGCCAAGCCAAGUCUGAUCGCCACGCUGGAGCAAAUAGAACCGGUGGAUGAACCCCGAUCCCCGGCGGCCCCUGUCCCGGCGGGAUUCAGCUUCCCGUCCCCCUGCCCCGGCCGACCCCAAAGCCCCCUCUUCCUGAGCCCGGUCCCCCAGAGCCCCCUCCUCUGCCCAAGCUCUCAUGGGGGGGAGGGGGAGUAGGUUAGGCCGGAUGGAGCCCCAGCCUAAAUCGGGUGGUGGGGAUAUGUGGCAGCUGUCUCCAAUUCGGCCUCGGCAGCUGCUCUGGCUGAUUGGCAAUCAGUCAGCAGCCGACGCCGCCCUCAUAAAAGCUCUGUUGAGAGUGGAGGGCAGGAAGAAAGUGAGCAGAGGCGCAGGGUUGCGGUCUGCUGUGUGUUGUAUGAAACAAAUAAAGUAUGUCAUCGAACGGAA